CCGUCCCUCUCCCCUCUCCCUCUCUCUCCCUCCCUCCUCUCUCUCUCUCUCUCUCUCUCUCUCUCUCUCUCUCUCACUCUCUAAGGAUUUUACAUUCUCACAGGAUUUCCGAUCGUUGCCACCGAUGCCGUCGUCUCGCCGCCAUCUUCUCGUCGACGUCGGGGAAUUAGGUGAUUGUGCUGCUGUUUGCCGUCUGAGGACAUCUACAAAAUGAAGGGAUUUCAACUGUAGGAUAUUGUAGAUAUAGACAAGCUAUUCCCGUAGGUUCAAGAGGGCGAUUAGAUCUUAAUGCCAACUAUGGAAUUAGAAAAGCUUUCAUCCCGCAGGUAUAUCUCAACCAUAUUGUAGAUGGCUGUGUAGCUCGAAUUGCUGCCAAACUUGAGUUGAUGGAUCCCUGUUCUGGUGUUAAAGACAGGCAUAUCAUGUUAUUGUUUUGUAUUGCUUGUCUUUUGCAAAAUACUAAAGUGAUCUAGCAACUAAAGGAUACUAACUCAUUUGUGUAAAAACAUAUUUGACUGUAGUUUGUGGUCAUAGUCGUGCAAUGCUUAUGGGCCUUUUGCUUUUCUUAA